GACGAACGCUGGCGGCGUGCUUAACACAUGCAAGUCGAACGGAAAGGCCCUGCUUUUGUGGGGUGCUCGAGUGGCGAACGGGUGAGUAACACGUGAGUAACCUGCCCUUGACUUUGGGAUAACUUCAGGAAACUGGGGCUAAUACCGGAUAGGAGCUCCUGCUGCAUGGUGGGGGUUGGAAAGUUUCGGCGGUUGGGGAUGGACUCGCGGCUUAUCAGCUUGUUGGUGGGGUAGUGGCUUACCAAGGCUUUGACGGGUAGCCGGCCUGAGAGGGUGACCGGCCCCAUUGGGACUGGGGUACGGCCCCGACUCCUACGGGGGGCAGCAGUGGGGAAUAUUGCACAAUGGGCGGAAGCCUGAUGCAGCAACGCCGCGUGCGGGAUGACGGCCUUCGGGUUGUAAACCGCUUUCGCCUGUGACGAAGCGUGGGUGACGGUAAUGGGUAAAGAAGCACCGGCUAACUACGUG
rnacentral:rRNA from 1 species